AUGAACGCUAGCUACAGGCUUAACACAUGCAAGUCGAGGGGCAGCAUGGUCUUAGCUUGCUAAGGCCGAUGGCGACCGGCGCACGGGUGAGUAACACGUAUCCAACCUGCCGUCUACUCUUGGACAGCCUUCUGAAAGGAAGAUUAAUACAAGAUGGCAUCAUGAGUCCGCAUGUUCACAUGAUUAAAGGUAUUCCGGUAGACGAUGGGGAUGCGUUCCAUUAGAUAGUAGGCGGGGUAACGGCCCACCUAGUCUUCGAUGGAUAGGGGUUCUGAGAGGAAGGUCCCCCACAUUGGAACUGAGACACGGUCCAAACUCCUACGGGAGGCAGCAGUGAGGAAUAUUGGUCAAUGGGCGCAGGCCUGAACCAGCCAAGUAGCGUGAAGGAUGACUGCCCUAUGGGUUGUAAACUUCUUUUAUAAAGGAAUAAAGUCGGGUAUGUAUACCUGUUUGCAUGUACUUUAUGAAUAAGGAUCGGCUAACUCCGUGCCAGCAGCCGCGGUAAUACGGAGGAUCCGAGCGUUAUCCGGAUUUAUUGGGUUUAAAGGGAGCGUAGAUGGAUGUUUAAGUCAGUUGUGAAAGUUUGCGGCUCAACCGUAAAAUUGCGGUUGAUACUGGAUAUCUUGAGUGCAGUUGAGGCAGGCGGAAUUCGUGGUGUAGCGGUGAAAUGCUUAGAUAUCACGAAGAACUCCGAUUGCGAAGGCAGCCUGCUAAGCUGCAACUGACAUUGAGGCUCGAAAGUGUGGGUAUCAAACAGGAUUAGAUACCCUGGUAGUCCACACGGUAAACGAUGAAUACUCGCUGUUUGCGAUAUACAGCAAGCGGCCAAGCGAAAGCGUUAAGUAUUCCACCUGGGGAGUACGCCGGCAACGGUGAAACUCAAAGGAAUUGACGGGGGCCCGCACAAGCGGAGGAACAUGUGGUUUAAUUCGAUGAUACGCGAGGAACCUUACCCGGGCUUAAAUUGCAGAUGAAUUACGGUGAAAGCCGUAAGCCGCAAGGCAUCUGUGAAGGUGCUGCAUGGUUGUCGUCAGCUCGUGCCGUGAGGUGUCGGCUUAAGUGCCAUAACGAGCGCAACCCUUGUUGUCAGUUACUAACAGGUUCCGCUGAGGACUCUGACAAGACUGCCAUCGUAAGAUGUGAGGAAGGUGGGGAUGACGUCAAAUCAGCACGGCCCUUACGUCCGGGGCUACACACGUGUUACAAUGGGGGGUACAGAGGGCCGCUACCACGCGAGUGGAUGCCAAUCCCCAAAACCUCUCUCAGUUCGGACUGGAGUCUGCAACCCGACUCCACGAAGCUGGAUUCGCUAGUAAUCGCGCAUCAGCCACGGCGCGGUGAAUACGUUCCCGGGCCUUGUACACACCGCCCGUCAAGCCAUGGGAGCCGGGGGUGCCUGAAGUGCGUAACCGCGAGGAGCGCCCUAGGGUAAAACUGGUGACUGGGGCU
rnacentral:rRNA from 1 species